GGGGCUCGGACCAGGGUCCUUAUGCUGAUCCUUGUGCUUUGCACCACGUGCGCUUAACCCGCUGUGCUACCACCCGACUCCCAGAUUCUUUUGUUAAUUAAAAAUUUAUUAAAAUUUGGGAGUCGGGUGGUAGUGCAGUGGGUUAAGCGCAUGUGGCAUGCAAAGUGCAAGGACCGGCAUAAGGUUCCUGGUUCGAGCCCC
rnacentral:pre_miRNA from 1 species